rnacentral:rRNA from 1 species
GCCUACGGGAGGCAGCAGUGGGGAAUAUUGCACAAUGGGGGGAACCCUGAUGCAGCGACGCCGCGUGGGUGAGGAAGUACUUCGGUAUGUAAAGCCCUAUCAGCAGGGAAGAAAAUGACGGUACCUGACUAAGAAGCCCCGGCUAACUACGUGCCAGCAGCCGCGGUAAUACGUAGGGGGCAAGCGUUAUCCGGAUUUACUGGGUGUAAAGGGAGCGUAGGCGGUUUAGCAAGUCAGAAGUGAAAGCCCGGGGCUCAACUCCGGGACUGCUUUUGAAACUGUUGAACUAGAUUGCAGGAGAGGUA